GACACAUUUUCCUGAUUGCGUUAAGUAUGAGUCUGCAAAAAAGACACUUUAACUCUUCCUUGGUACGCUUCCUUGAAGAGAUCCGUAUUUAAAACAAGACGCAAACGGCAGCUGUUUAUUAACGAUUAAGAUGUACACCCACAAAUCGAGCAUGGAUCGCAUAUUUAUUGCUUAAGUUUACCUCACACUGUGCAAGCUUUAAAAGAUUUGUAUUGAGUUACCUGUCGAGUAGGAUGUGGUAUUUGUUUGUAUCGAGUCACAACCAAUUUCACACGUAAAUUAAAACAUAAGGUAUAAAGUAGUUUGUGCAACUUCGUGCGACUUAUAAGUAUUUGGCUCCUAAUACGUCUCUAUUUUAUUGAGUAGUCGAUAAUAAAGGUUGGAUCUUUACUCACAGAAACAGCCUCCAAACACUGAUAUGGGGAAUUUGUAUAGUUACCAGUCCAAUGGACAAAGCGUGGAGCCAUCAAAAGCAGUCACCGGGCACAAAUGGGAAUACGAGAUCUACUUCGAUCCUGAGGCUGAAGUCGACUAUGGUGACAAAUAUGAUAUCAAAGAGGAAGACCUAAUGACGACGCUAAAACAGCUUGUUGGAGUGGACGAAGUAAUAAUAAACGUGUGGGCAUAUACAGCGCCACCAAUGGAGGCAGAGUCGUCGCCUCGGUUACUCUUUCAUAUGUUUGUUGUUUUUAAAACCGAGGGAUGGUGGUGGUCCAUCGAAAAGCAUACUGAUGGUAUUACGAUCCAACGAAGUUAUUUCAAAACGGCCGUCAUUGAUCGUUACAGGCGCAAGAAUCGCAAAUCCGGGUGGGAAGUUCUUAAAGAAGACAUUGGAAAAAUGAGCGUUCAUGAACUCAUAGAAUGGCUUUAUAAAAAAGGCGAACAAAAGAAAACGUAAAAUGAUAUAUUUAGCAAUUGCAAAGACUUUGCAAAGUCUGUUUUCAACCACGUAGCAUUAUAAAAAAAUGUAAUUGAAAAAGGGAUGUCAUAUCAUAGAAUAUAAAUAAUCUAAAACAUAUAACAAAACAUUUAUGUAUUAUCAAAAAGGAGAACCUUUUUCCAUUCAGGUUUUUAAGAUCAAUUUAUUAUACGACUACUUUUAAGUAAUGAUUUUGUUUUCUUGCAUAUUAAGUGUUCUAGGUUUAAUGUACAUUUCAUAUAAGCUGAAAGAAUGAAUUUGUUGUAAUUGUAAUGAUAGAAUGGAAUCUUAUAAAAGAACAAUUAUCAUUAUAAUCUGAAUUUGAUACAUGCGUAUGUAUUACAGCUCGUAUCUUAGUGCGUGCUUUGAUUGUGUUCGUGUUCGUUUUGUUGUAAUGAAUCGCAAACUAAACAAAACUAUCUCAACAAUCUGAGAAGUGCAUGGAUGUAAAACGCGUCACUGCACAUUAUCAAAAUGUCAAGUCUGAUGAUGUUACAAAUUUGAGAUGGAAUCAAAUAUAUAGCCGAUAUCAAUUUAAUCAAAUCGUAACUUUAGAUCAAUAAUUUGUCGCUCUUAUGAUCAAGCGAUAGGUCAUAAGAGCUCACAUUCAAUUGAUUUUCCAGUUAAAUCAAAGGUUUCUGUUGUGUUUUUUUAAAACUAUAAUUCUUAUAUUUUAAUAUGUCAAUUCGUUUGGAUUGUAUUAUUACCGAGAGAAAAACAAGUAAACCAAAGACCGUUGAAGUCAACGAUAUAAUUGGUUAUUUAAACCUCAUCCACACCUGACCUAUUAUGCAAUAUAGACAGCGUAGGAAAAAUUUGCCAGAUGUUGCGCUUAUGUAUAGAAAUAUGGCAAGAUGUCAAACAAGUGGUCUCUUUCCUGCCUUGUCAUUGACUCGUUCAUGUCUAUGUCACUUUUGAAGAACUUGUAUAUUCUUCAGGGGUCAAUAUGUUUCUGAAAGGUAAAAUACUUAUUAUGUUUUAUGUUUAGUCAAUAAAUCUGUAA